GGGGAUUUAGCUCAGUGGUAGAGCGCUUGGCUAGCAAGCGAAAGGCCCUGGGUUCGGUCCCCAGCUCCG
rfam:Rattus norvegicus chromosome 7, whole genome shotgun sequence.